AUACGUAGGUGGCAAGCGUUGUCCGGAUUUACUGGGCGUAAAGGGAGCGUAGGCGGAUUUUUUAAGUGAGAUGUGAAAUACUCGGGCUUAACCUGAGUGCUGCAUUUCAAACUGGAAGUCUAGAGUGCAGGAGAGGAGAAGGGAAUUCCUAGUGUAGCGGUAGAAAUGCGUAGAGAUUAGGAAGAACACCAGUGGCGAAGGCGCUUCUCUGGACUGUAACUGACGCUGAGGCUCGAAAGCGUGGGGAGC
rnacentral:rRNA from 1 species